UGGGGAAUCUUGCGCAAUGGGCGAAAGCCUGACGCAGCAACGCCGCGUGCGGGAUGACAGCCUUCGUGGUUGUAAACCGCUUUCAGCAGGGACGAAAAUGACGGUACCUGCAGAAGAAGCUCCGGCUAACUACGUGCCAGCAGCCGCGGUAAUACGUAGGGAGCAAGCGUUGUCCGGAUUCAUUGGGCGUAAAGAGCUCGUAGGCGGUUCAGUAAGUCGGGUGUGAAAGCUCCGAGCUCAACUCGGAGAGGCCACCCGAUACUGCUGUGACUAGAGUCCAGUAGGGGAGCGUGGAAUUCCUGGUGUAGCGGUGAAAUGCGCAGAUAUCAGGAGGAACACCAGCGGCGAAGGCGGCGCUCUGGGCUGGAACUGACGCUGAGGAGCGAAAGCGUGGGUAGCAAACAGG
rnacentral:rRNA from 1 species